rnacentral:lncRNA from 10 species
CAGAAAACCUGCUAGACAAAUUCUAAAGAGCUGUAAUACUUCUCUCUUUUUGGAAGAAUGUUUUCUGGAUAUAGAAUUCUUGGUUAGCAGUGUUUUUCUUCAGUGCCCUGACUGUGUCAUCUCACUGCCUGCUGGUCCCAUGGCUUCUGGUCAACAAGUGCUGUUAUUUUAUCAAGGGCUGAUUUACCUGACGACUCAUUUGGUUUCGGCGGAACAGGUUCCUGCUAUUUUAUCCAGGGCUGAUUUACCUGAUGACUCAUUUCGGUUUCGGGUGAACAGGCGCUGCUAUUUUAUCAAGGUCUGAUUUACCUGACAACUCAUUUUGGUUUUGGGUGAACAGGUUCCUGCUGUUUUAUCAAGGGCUGAUUUACCUGACGACUCAUUUCAGUUUUGGGUGAACAGGUUCCUGCUAUUUUAUCGAGGGCUGAUUUACCUGACGACUCAUCUCACUCUUGCUGCUUCCAGGACUCCCAGUUUCCCUUUGAUUGUUUGACUACAGUGUGUGCAGAUGGGAGUUCCCCUGCACAAGCUCUCUUACCUACCACCAUGUGAGAUGUGACUUUGCUCCUCCAUCGCCUUCCACCAUGACCAUGAGGCUUCCGCAGCCAUGUGAAACUGCUGACACUGCUAUCAUUUUUGGAACCAAGGCUGGAUCAUGACAGAACAGAGCCUCCACUACUCCUGCCUUCAGCCAGGGCCCCGAAGCAAGGCUCCACCUAACCAUCAAGUGACUGAAGGCACUAAGGGAGCCCGGCUGGGACGGAGAACCAGCAGCUGAGCACAGCCAAAGGCAAUGACCACAGAGGUCGGAGCCACACACCUUGCUGCUGCUGCCUGUGGCAGGGCUGGUUACUCAGCAUUAAUUUCACAUAUGUUACGCAUUCACGAUGGCUUUAUCUCUGGGUGUUGGGAUUACAGAUGGUUUUUUCUUUCUAAUUUUUUGGACUCAAAUUUUAAUAACAUGUAACAUACUUUAUAUCUCAUUCUCUCAAAGAUAUUAGCAAUAUAGUAUUUUUGUAAGUCUAUCAAAAGAAAUCUUCUACCUAUGUCUAGAAAUU